AUAUCAAUAAGCGGAGGAAAAGAAACCAACAGGGAUUGCCCUAGUAACGGCGAGUGAAGCGGCAACAGCUCAAAUUUGAAAUCUGGCUCUUUCACGGUCCGAGUUGUGAUUUGUAGAAUAUGCUUCCGGUGUGGUACCGGUCUAAGUUCCUUGGAACACGACGUCAUAGAGGGUGAGAAUCCCGCAUGUGACUGGUCACCUUCGAUCAUGUGGAGCUCUUUCGUCGAGUCGAGUAGUUGGGGAAUGCAGCUCAAAAUGGGUGGUGAAUUUCAUCUACCGCUAAAUAUUGGCCAGAGGCCGAUAGCGCACAAGUAGAGUGAUCGUAAGAUGAAAAGCACUUUGUAAAGAGAGUUAAACAGUACGUGAAAUUGUUGAAAGGGAAGCGCUUGCAGCCAGACUUGCAGGUAGUUACCCAUCCCGGGUUCUUCUCCGGUGCACUUGGGUACGUUCAGGCCAGCAUCGGUUGCUGUGGUGGGAUAAAGGCGUAGGGAAUGUGGCUCUUUUUGGGGAGUGUUAUAACCCUAGGUGCAAUGCAGCUCACUGGGACCGAGGAUCGCGCAUCGGCUAGGAUGCUGGCGUAAUGGUCGUAAGCGA
rnacentral:rRNA from 1 species